AAGAUAUUAGUUUAAUGGUAGAACAAGAUAUUGCGGAUGUCUAAAUAAUAGUUCGAUUCUAUUAUAUCUUU
rnacentral:tRNA from 3 species